rnacentral:rRNA from 1 species
AUUGAACGCUGGCGGCAGGCCUAACACAUGCAAGUCGAGCGGUAGAGAGGUGCUUGCAUCUCUUGAGAGCGGCGGACGGGUGAGUAAUGCCUAGGAAUCUGCCUAGUGGUGGGGGGAUAACGUUCGGAAACGGACGCUAAUACCGCAUACGUCCUACGGGAGAAAGCGGGGGAUCUUCGGACCUCGCGCCAUUAGAUGAGCCUAGGUCGGAUUAGCUAGUUGGUGAGGUAAUGGCUCACCAAGGCGACGAUCCGUAACUGGUCUGAGAGGAUGAUCAGUCACACUGGAACUGAGACACGGUCCAGA